UACAGAGGUCUCAAGCGUUGUUCGGAUUUACUGGGCGUAAAGGGCGCGUAGGCGGCCACCGCAAGUCGACUGUGAAAUCUCCGGGCUUAACCCGGAAAGGUCAGCCGAUACUGCGGGGCUAGAGUGCAGAAGGGGCAACUGGAAUUCUCGGUGUAGCGGUGAAAUGCGUAGAUAUCUGGAGGAACACCGGUGGCGAAGGCGGCAUCCUGGACCGGUAUUGACGCUGAUGCGCGAAAGCCAGGGGAGCAAACGGG
rnacentral:rRNA from 1 species